GGGACAGAAAACAUCAGAGGUGAGAGGCCCUCCUGACUGUGCUGUAUUGUUGUUGUACCGUCUCCUUGCGUCCACUAGAGGGCGACAUGCGCUGCAAAGAAACCAGAGACCUACGCAGUUAAAAAAAAAAAGAGAAUCAUCAUGCUUGCUCAGCAGUUUUACACCCUUAAAAAUGACCGCACUGAUCAAUACUGAUACAUAAUGCACACCGUCGGCUGCUGAUGGAUCGGUUCCCUCGUCUCCCCUUACGUUCACUGACCGUCAGCAAGGUCGCAGGACUGGCCUCAGAUCAGUUCCUCCUCUGACUCUGACCAGCUCGGCCUGUCAGAAGUAUUACAUAAAGAGAACAGCGGGCCCUUUCUCUGUUAACACAUUUUUUUCAGUGCCGUGUGCUCGCUCAAUGACAGCUGCAACAGAGCGCGACUGUGGCUCCUGACGCUCUUUCUUCACACUGUGAUAAAGACAGAGGGAGAGUGUCAUCACACACACGGACCCUGCAGCUUCCCCUCUCUGUUUGAUCAUCUCUGGCAGCCAGACAUAACUCUCCCCUUUCCUCCCAAACUACCUGUCGUUGAAAAGCAAACUAUAAACAUCAUUCUGACGGGCAAAACAAAGCCUCCAUUCUUGGUACACAUUUUGGUACCUGGCCGCAGGGAUUUGUUCCCAUUCAGCCUCAAGAGCAUAAGUGAGGUCAGGCGAUGUUGUUGGUUUAUGAGGCCUGGCUUGCAGAGUGUGCUCCAAUUCACGCCCAAAGUCAUGGAAUGGGGUUAAAGUCAGCGCUCUGUGCAGGACUGUGAAGGUCUUUGGUAAACUAAAGACGACAGCGCCUUUGUCGCCAUUGAUCUCAAGCUCUGGAACGACGUGCCCCUGAAGAUGUAAGACGUCUGAGUCAGCGUCUCUUCUAAACACAAACUUUUACUGGAAAGCAUGUCCUGAUCUAAUCUGACACGCUGUUUAUUUUGUCUUUUAGUUGCCUUUUUUUUUAUCUCAGUGUUUUUUUUUAUUGUACUCAUUUUUGCCUAUGAUAAGUGCUCUGUGAAUAAGGUUUCUCCCUUUAAAGUUUCGCUGACAUUGCAAGAUUAAACUGAUACAGACCACUUGUUAGUUAUCUUUGAUUUAAAGUUGUGUUUUUUGCCACCUGCCGCAAUAAUUACUCUCUUUUGGCUCUGUUUUUGGUCUCCACCAACUCCAAAACAGGAUGUAGCUCUUUAGCUGAUUCACUAGCUAAUGUUAAAUGUUGUCUGUCGUUUGAUGCUAGGCAGUCGGCGUACACUGGCAGCUCUCCUCUUUUCUUUGUAUUAAUUAUUUAAGUUGAUCAAAUGCACAGCAGGACUUUCUGCGCUUCACUGUUCAUUCUGACCAAGUUCCUUAAUAAACGUUCACCUUGGUAUUUCCACUGUCACAUUUUGCGACCUUGUUGAUGGAAUUAAAAGCAAAUAUAUAAGCGGUCCAGUCGCGUCACAGAGAUAAUAAAAUGAAACCUGACCGUAGUCUUCGUGUCUCUUCCUGUGGGGAAGUAAUCGACGAUGUGCAACCUGAGAAACUACUCACUAGUGAACGUUAGUCAGUCAUAGUUGAAGUUUAUUUAAGGCUAAAUGGUUAGCAGAGAGUGAGGCUGACCCACAUUCCAUAAAAGAGUUUUUAGCUGUGUUUGCUGUCAGAUCUGAGUGUCUCAAGCACGUUGUGAAAAACAAAAUAAAUCUUAUGUAACUUGUUUUUUUCAGAUUUAAAAAGCACUUGUUCAUCCUCUGCUUGCCCACCAUCUCCUGUUCCUAUGGUAACAAGAAGAGUAUGCGCGGCAGGUUGGUUUUGCAUCAUAUUUGUUUUAGAAAACUGCCCAGUCAACAUGAAUAAUUCUCAACUUUAGGACUCAUUUCUUAUUACAACAAUGUUUCCACUUUUUUCUUCAUGUUUCGAACACAUUUUACGAAAAAAAAAAAAAAGGGAAUCCAGACAUGGUUCGUAUCUUUGGAAACGUUUCUCACCUUUGAGCGAAAAACUGAACAAAAUGUCCCCAACUGUUCCAAAGCCCAGCAGGCCUGGACACGCACCUGGGCAAAAAAAAAAAAAAAUGUCCUACUUUCUCGCCUCUCCAUACGAGCUCACGUGUUUAUGAGUUUAAUAUGAGCAGAGCAGCGAACUGCGGACGCCUACACAAUGAGCUCACUAUUCAUCUGACAAUAAAGCCCUUCGCUCGCUUAAUUACAGCACACCAGUCACUGUGAGGUUUGUAAACAGGGACUGACCGCAUCCAUUUUUUAUUUUUUUUUUUCCACGAGAACAAAACAAAAUGCGUAAGUCCUGACGUGCAGACGGGGGAAAGAAUGAGCAAAACACAGAGCCAGAGAGAGUUAAACAGAGAAAGAGAGAGAGUAAAACAAAUAAAAAAAGGACAGGAGACAAACAGGAACUCAUUUUGUGAGACUAUUUGCCAAACAGCAGCAGCGGGGAUCCUGGUUGCACAACAGAAAGAAUGCAAGCCGACCAGCCGUCCACCAGUCCAGAUGUUGCCUGCAAAGCCUUCCAGAAAGUUCAGUUUCAGUCUGACGGAGGGGAAAUAACGACGUGUUUCACCGGGAAAUCAUAUCUGCAUCAGAUGCUGUGUUCAACUUCAAUAAAUGACUUGAGACUCGA